rnacentral:rRNA from 1 species
UACAGGGGGGGCAAGCGUUGUUCGGAAUUACUGGGCGUAAAGGGCUCGUAGGCGGCCAACUAAGUCACACGUGAAAUCCCCAGGCUUAACCUGGGAACUGCGUGUGAUACUGGAUGGCUUGAAUCCGGGAGAGGGAUGCGGAAUUCAGGUGUAGCGGUGAAAUGCGUAGAUAUCUGGAGGAACACCGGUGGCGAAGGCGGCAUCCUGGACCGGUAUUGACGCUGAUGAGCGAAAGCCAGGGGAGCAAACGGGG